AGCAGCCGCGGUAAUUCCAGCUCCAAUAGCGUAUAUUAAAGUUGUUGCAGUUAAAAAGCUCGUAGUUGAAUUUCGGGAUCAAGUCGUCGGUCGUGCCUCGGUACGCACUGGUGACAUUGGUUUCUCCCUUCUGAAGAACCUUGAUGUCAUUAAUUUGGUGUCUUGGGGAAUCAGGACUGUUACUUUGAAAAAAUUAGAGUGUUUAAAGCAAGCCCACGCUUGAAUACAUUAGCAUGGAAUAAUGAAAUAGGACGUUUGAUUCUAUUUUGUUGGUUUCUAGGAUCGACGUAAUGAUUAAUAGGGAUAGUUGGGGGCAUUAGUAUUCAAUUGUCAGAGGUGAAAUUCUUGGAUUUAUUGAAGACUAACUACUGCGAAAGCAUUUGCCAAGGAUGUUUUCAUUAAUCAAGAACGAAAGUUAGGGGAUCGAAGACGAUCAGAUACCGUCGUAGUCUUAACCAUAAACUAUGCCGACUAGGGAUCGGAUGAUGUUAAUUUUUAAUGACUCAUUCGGCGCCUUACG
rnacentral:rRNA from 1 species